CAAGUCGAACGAAGUGGCCAAUGAAAAUUAGCGUGCUUGCACAAAAUUGGAUUUGGAUUUUUCCACUUAGUGGCAGACGGGUGAGUAAUGCACAGGUAACCUACCCUAAGGACUGGACAACUAUUGGAAACGAUAGCUAAUACCGGAUGAUUCAUAGAUAGAUAACUAUUUAUGCUAAAAGGAGCUUCGGCUUCACCUCAGGAUGGGCUUGUAUUGUAUUAGUUAGUUGGUGAGGUAAUGGCCCACCAAGACUACGAUGCAUAUCCGAGCUGAGAGGCUGAUCGGACACAUUGGAACUGAGAUACGGUCCAAACUCCUACGGGAGGCAGCAGUUAGGAAUAUUCGCCAAUGGGGGAAACCCUGAACGAGCAAUGCCGCGUGAGUGAUGAAGGUCUUAAUGAUUGUAAAACUCUGUUGCGAAGGAAGAAUAGCCAUCAUAGGUAAUGAUGAUGGUGUGACGGUACUUCACCAGAAAGCCCCGGCUAACUACGUG
rnacentral:rRNA from 1 species